AAAGAUUACUAUGAAAGACAUCCAUACAUGUCUUAUAUAAAGAAGGAAAAGCAUAUUCUCAGUACUGUUAACAUGCAAUAUAAAUGUAUAUUGUUUGAAAACUAAAUAUUGGAGUUACAAUUUAUAACUUGUCUGCCAAAAGUACAUGCUCUUUGUUUUCACUUUGUUCUUCUGUAGUUUUCCUAUUCAUGGAAUUGCAUAAACUUGAAUGCAUAUCUUGGAAUCAAAUAUGUAGUUUCCUUGACUGGUACAAACUUGGUUACUUCAUUGAAGCCCAAUUAGACAUUAUGAUUCAGAACAUUGUAUCCACGUCCAUGGUUCUUAAUUUGUUGUACGCAAUAAACAUCAUAAACACAUCCCUCUUUCAAUUUCAAUGUGCUUAUAGCCAUAUUCCUCCAUUAUGGGGUGAAUGGAGUCUCCCUACAUUUAAUAUUUCUAUUAAUCAAAUGAGGUAAAAGCCAAUUACAUCAGCUACGCCAUAAUGGAGUCUCCCUACAUUUGAUAUUUCUAUUAAUAGAAUGAGGUAAAAGCCAAUUACAUCAGCUACAUGAAUGUUAAGGCAAUGCAGUCAAUUGAUUGUAUUGAAUAAAAAA
rnacentral:lncRNA from 1 species